rnacentral:rRNA from 1 species
AUUGAACGCUGGCGGCAGGCCUAACACAUGCAAGUCGAACGAUGAACUUGGGGCUUGCUCUGGGGGAUUAGUGGCGAACGGGUGAGUAACACGUGAGUAACCUGCCCUGGACUCUGGGAUAACUUCGAGAAAUCGGAGCUAAUACCGGAUAGGACCUUGCACCGCAUGGUGUGGGGUGGAAAGUUUUUCGGUUUGGGAUGGACUCGCGGCCUAUCAGCUUGUUGGUGAGGUAAUGGCUCACCAAGGCGUCGACGGGUAGCCGGCCUGAGAGGGUGACCGGCCACACUGGGACUGAGACACGGCCCAGACUCCUACGGGAGGCAGCAGUGGGGAAUAUUGCACAAUGGGCGCAAGCCUGAUGCAGCAACGCCGCGUGCGGGAUGACGGCCUUCGGGUUGUAAACCGCUUUUAGUGGGGAAGAAGCCUUCGGGUGACGGUACCUGCAGAAAAAGGACCGGCUAACUACGUGCCAGCAGCCGCCGUAAGAC